UACGUAGGGGGCUAGCGUUGUCCGGAAUCAUUGGGCGUAAAGCGCGUGUAGGCGGUCCGGUAAGUCCGCUGUGAAAGUCAAGGGCUCAACCCUUGAAUGCCGGUGGAUACUGUCGGGCUAGAGUCCGGAAGAGGCGAGUGGAAUUCCUGGUGUAGCGGUGAAAUGCGCAGAUAUCAGGAGGAACACCAAUUGCGAAGGCAGCUCGCUGGGACGUGACUGACGCUGAGACGCGAAAGCGUGGGGAGCAAACAGG
rnacentral:rRNA from 1 species